ensembl:lncRNA
CCAGGAGUUGUUUGGAAGUGAAAGACCAGGAAUGAGAGCUGUAGCUUCACAAAGUUGUGUUUUGUUCCAGAUUUUUGCUGGAAGAGCUAGUGAAGUAUCUACGUAUGCAAUAGGUCAAGAGCAUCAUUAAGCUCUAAUCUCUUGGAGGAGAAAAUGCAGUGCAGUUUUUCUCAUCUCUGUUGGGCACUCGGAAUGAACCUGAGAAAUUGGUUAAUGGAAGAGAAGGUUGCCUUCUCCUAAGGUCCUCUGGAAUCUACAGUCAUCAUUUGCUUUAGUGCUUCUCCCAGCUGGAAAACCAAGGAUGAUGUUUUUCAGCACUUCAGAAUGAAGUUGUGUUUACUGUAGUGCUUUGAGUAAUAGUGAGAGCAUGUGUUGAAGGACCCUACUUGUUUAACAACAAAAUUCGGAUUUCAUUCCGUAGGUUUCACAAAUCUGGGAAACGGCACUUGAGCAUUGUUUGAAAUAG